UGGGGAAUAUUGCACAAUGGGCGCAAGCCUGAUGCAGCCAUGCCGCGUGUAUGAAGAAGGCCUUCGGGUUGUAAAGUACUUUCAGCGGGGAGGAAGGCGAUAAGGUUAAUAACCUUGUCGAUUGACGUUACCCGCAGAAGAAGCACCGGCUAACUCCGUGCCAGCAGCCGCGGUAAUACGGAGGGUGCAAGCGUUAAUCGGAAUUACUGGGCGUAAAGCGCACGCAGGCGGUCUGUCAAGUCGGAUGUGAAAUCCCCGGGCUAAACCUGGGAACUGCAUUCGAAACUGGCAGGCUAGAGUCUUGUAGAGGGGGGUAGAAUUCCAGGUGUAGCGGUGAAAUGCGUAGAGAUCUGGAGGAAUACCGGUGGCGAAGGCGGCCCCCUGGACAAAGACUGACGCUCAGGUGCGAAAGCGUGGGGAGCAAACA
rnacentral:rRNA from 1 species